AAUCCAAUUCAAUUGGACUUGAUCCAAAAAUAAUUACUCAAUCAAAUUGAGUUAAUUAGUGAUCAAAUCACUAAUUAAACCUCUCAUAAAUAUUGAGUCCAAAUUCGAUGGGCAAUCAGGCAUCAGAAUUUAUUGAUAUGUAACCCUGAUCGAAAAGUCCCAACCAGUGGGACUUUUGACCCCGGUAUCCAUAAUGUGUGGAACUCAUGAUCAAAAAAUUUUGAUUCUCGAUCACUGAGUCCCAAACAUAUAAGAUUCUACACCAGCCAUUAGAUCAGAUAGGAACCUCUAAUGUGUGUGACCCCACAAGUUCGAACCUAAGUCGGUAGCACAGGAACCAAUUCCUGUACUAAUCGAAGUGACCAUCUAGCAAUGGUAUUCGACAUCCGGAUACGUCGAAGAGUCACAAUCGCAACACUCAGAAUCUACAUGAAUAUGGUUACUGUAUAAUUCAUCCUUUUGACCCCUGUGUUUAGGAUGACUCAGGGUUAAACUGUCAACCCUGAUCAGAUCAUCUGAAUCAUGCUCAACUCAAAUAGUCCUGUGACUCCUCACAAGGACUACCCUGGCCAAGGUUUUGCUAAAUUGAAACACGACUGUACACAGCUCCUAAACUGGAGUGGUCAAUCCCAUCUUGACACAUGCACCGACAAGUCAAGUACUUGACUAUACCCAGCAGCCUUCCGUCACUGAAUUAGAAAUUCAGGUAGUCUAGUGUCUAAGUACAGUGAGUUGCUUGCAAGUCACCGUGGCGGUCUC
rnacentral:lncRNA from 1 species